GUCGAGAAUAAUUCACAAUGGGGGAAACCCUGAUGGUGCAACGCCGCGUGGAGGAUGAAGGUCUUCGGAUUGUAAACUCCUGUCAUCUGGGAGUAAGACCUGACGGUGAAUAGCCGGCAGGGUUGAUAGUACCAGAAGAGGAAGGGACGGCUAACUUCGUGCCAGCAGCCGCGGUAAUACGAAGGUCCCAAGCGUUGUUCGGAAUCACUGGGCGUAAAGGGUGCGUAGGCGGCGGGGUAAGUCAGCUGUGAAAUCCCGGGGAUCAACCUCGGAACUGCAUCCGAGACUGCCAUGCUUGAGGGCUGGAGAGGUAACUGGAAUUCUCGGUGUAGCAGUGAAAUGCGUGGAUAUCGAGAGGAACACUCGUGGCGAAGGCGAGUUACUGGACAGCAUCUGACGCUGAGGCACGAAGGCCAGGGGAGCGAAAGGGAUUAGAUACCCGUGUAGUCC
rnacentral:rRNA from 1 species